rnacentral:rRNA from 1 species
AGUCGAGCGGAUCUCUWCGGAGAUCAGCGGCGGACGGGUGAGUAACACGUGGGCAACCUGCCUGUAAGACUGGGAUAACUCCGGGAAACCGGGGCUAAUACCGGAUAACCCUUCGGACCUCAUGGUCCGGAGCUGAAAGACGGUUAUGCUGUCACUUACAGAUGGGCCCGCGGCGCAUUAGCUAGUUGGUGAGGUAACGGCUCACCAAGGCGACGAUGCGUAGCCGACCUGAGAGGGUGAUCGGCCACACUGGGACUGAGACACGGCCCAGACUCCUACGGGAGGCAGCAGUAGGGAAUCUUCCGCAAUGGACGAAAGUCUGACGGAGCAACGCCGCGUGAGUGAAGAAGGUUUUCGGAUCGUAAAACUCUGUUGUUAGGGAAGAACAAGUACGAGAGUAACUGCUCGUACCUUGACGGUACCUAACCAGAAAGCCACGGCUAACUACGUGCCAGCAGCCGCGGUAAUACGUAGGUGGCAAGCGUUGUCCGGAAUUAUUGGGCGUAAAGCGCGCGCAGGCGGUCUUUUAAGUCUGAUGUGAAAGCCCCCGGCUCAACCGGGGAGGGUCAUUGGAAACUGGAGGACUUGAGUGCAGAAGAGGAGAGCGGAAUUCCACGUGUAGCGGUGAAAUGCGUAGAGAUGUGGAGGAACACCAGUGGCGAAGGCGGCUCUCUGGUCUGUAACUGACGCUGAGGCGCGAAAGCGUGGGGAGCGAACAGGAUUAGAUACCCUGGUAGUCCACGCCGUAAACGAUGAGUGCUAAGUGUUAGAGG